UGAGGUCAACCCUACGCUGCCUGCAACCGU
rnacentral:piRNA from 1 species